AGAGUUUGAUCAUGGCUCAGGAUGAACGCUAGCGACAGGCCUAACACAUGCAAGUCGAGGGGCAGCGGAGAGGUAGCAAUACCUUUGCCGGCGACCGGCGCACGGGUGAGUAACACGUAUGCAAUCCACCUGUAACAGGGGGGAUAACCCGGGAGAAAUCCGGACUAAUACCCCCAUAAUAUGGGCGCUCCGCAUGGAGAGCCCAUUAAAAGAGAGCAAUUUUGGUUACAGACGAGCAUGCGCUCCA
rnacentral:rRNA from 1 species